CUCUGGAGCGCUGUUCUCGCUCCUUUUGCGCGCCAUUUACGCAAAAGAUAAACGCUCUAAUGUGCGCUUCUGCAGUCGAGCUCCAAGCUGUUCGGAAGCUCAAAACACGAGUGUUUUGACUUCAGAAGGAUCAAGACUGAGGUUGAAUUCAUGUCCGCAUGGAAAUCAGGAAGUAGGAGGACCCGACUGUGAAGGCAGCGGCAGCACUCAGGCAGGCAUUCGCUGGAUGAAUGGGAGUUUGUCUGCUGCUUGGAAGCGGAUGGGGAGAGGCUCUUGCGUGCCCACGACCGGGAUCCGUCAGCGAGAGAACGACACAGGCUUUGCAGCUGAACGCACAGCGACAGCAGGCUUAUACCUCGUGAAUUUCUGCCCAAUGUUAAUGUGAUCUGCCUCCGUCACUGUCUUUACAGAGGAAACUGGCCGUGCGCUUUGUUGGAUUGGUUUGCUCCGUCGGACCUAGCCCCUCUCUGCGCACCGACACAUAAACCCUCCCGGAUCCUGUUUGUGACCUCUCACGGAUAUUUCGGCAGGAGAAUAUAUGUGAGAAAAAUCAGUGUCCCGAGCAAGAAAAGAGAAGUGGCUCAGGGGAUUUUUCCUCGUCGCCCCAGUGCUGUUGCAGAAGCUCUCCCUGACUAGACACAUGUUUCCCUUUGUCCAAAAGGCGCAGUAGCUUUGUGAACGGCUUUGGGAUUUUUUUUUCCUUGGAAAGGCUUCUUCUCUCCCCGCAUGGCUGUUCUCAAUUUAAACGGAGUAGACUUCGCCGCCCCUUGUGUGGAUUAUAUUAUUUGAAAAGCAGAAUGUGAAACGAGGCCAUAUUUAUCAGACCGAGAAAGUAAUAACCUGACUUAUUGCUUUCCCCCCCUAACCUUUCCACAUCAAAGGUCUCCAAUGCUGGCUCCGAAAAGUUUUUCAGCACAGCUGCAGUUAAAGUUCCAGAUUUUGGCAUCGAUGUACUCUCUACCAAUGGCAGC